AGAGUUUGAUCCUGGCUCAGGACGAACGCUGGCGGCGCGCCUAACACAUGCAAGUCGAACGAGCGAGAGAGAGCUUGCUUCCUCAAUCGAGUGGCGAACGGGUGAGUAACGCGUGAGGAACCUGCCUCAAAGAGGGGGACAACAGUUGGAAACGACUGCUAAUACCGCAUAAGCCCACAGGUCGGCAUCGACCAGAGGGAAAAGGAGCAAUCCGCUUUGAGAUGGCCUCGCGUCCGAUUAGCUAGUUGGUGAGGUAACGGCCCACCAAGGCAACGAUCGGUAGCCGGACUGAGAGGUUGAACGGCCACAUUGGGACUGAGACACGGCCCAGACUCCUACGGGAGGCAGCAGUGGGGAAUAUUGCACAAUGGGGGAAACCCUGAUGCAGCGACGCCGCGUGGAGGAAGAAGGUCUUCGGAUUGUAAACUCCUGUUGUUGAGGAAGAUAAUGACGGUACUCAACAAGGAAGUGACGGCUAACUACGUGCCAGCAGCCGCGGUAAAACGUAGGUCACAAGCGUUGUCCGGAAUUACUGGGUGUAAAGGGAGCGCAGGCGGGAAGACAAGUUGGAAGUGAAAUCUAUGGGCUCAACCCAUAAACUGCUUUCAAAACUGUUUUUCUUGAGUAGUGCAGAGGUAGGCGGAAUUCCCGGUGUAGCGGUGGAAUGCGUAGAUAUCGGGAGGAACACCAGUGGCGAAGGCGGCCUACUGGGCACCAACUGACGCUGAGGCUCGAAAGUGUGGGUAGCAAACAGGAUUAGAUACCCUGGUAGUCCACACCGUAAACGAUGAUUAAUAGGUGUUGGAGGAUUGACCCCUUCAGUGCCGCAGUUAACACAAUAAGUAAUCCACCUGGGGAGUACGACCGCAAGGUUGAAACUCAAAGGAAUUGACGGGGGCCCGCACAAGCAGUGGAGUAUGUGGUUUAAUUCGACGCAACGCGAAGAACCUUACCAAGUCUUGACAUCCUGCGACGAUGCUGGAAACAGUAUUUUCCUUCGGGACGCAGAGACAGGUGGUGCAUGGUUGUCGUCAGCUCGUGUCGUGAGAUGUUGGGUUAAGUCCCGCAACGAGCGCAGCCCUUAUCCUCAGUAGCCAGCAGGUAAAGCUGGGCACUCUGUGGAGACUACCAGGGAUAACCUGGAGGAAGGUGGGGAUGACGUCAAAUCAUCAUGCCCCUUAUGAUCUGGGCUACACACGUGCUACAAUGGCGUAAACAAAGGGAGGCAAAGCCGCGAGGUGGAGCAAAUCCCAAAAAUAACGUCUCAGUUCGGACUGCAGUCUGCAACUCGACUGCACGAAGCUGGAAUCGCUAGUAAUCGCGAAUCAGAAUGUCGCGGUGAAUACGUUCCCAGGGUCUUGCACUCACCGCCCGUCA
rnacentral:rRNA from 1 species